AGGACCAUCAGGCCGUAUCCACAUCAGAGAACUAGCACAGACACGGAGGCAUUCUACAAGGUAUUCUCUUUGAGGGCCUCAUGAUGAAGAUGGCAUUCAAAAAAAUACAAAUAAAUUAAAAAUGACUGCAUUGGAACCUAACGCUCUGGUGACGCCAAACAUGUUGAUGCAUAAACAGAACUGGAGACAAAUGAGCCGCGUCGCUGGGAACUAAAGGAUUAAUGGCACUUGGCUCUGAUUUGUGAUCAGUAUCACAAGAAAGAAAAAGCAAAACCCGAAAGCCUGACAUUCGAGUGGACUUCAGUCUGACGAGACUGUGAGAAUCGAGGACGAUCGGUUCUGUGUUUUGGAGCCACUUGACAGAUGUUGUCAUCCGGGCCGAUUAAUGAAGAACGUGCAGACUUUGCACUUGACUGUGAAGUUCUUUGGGAUAUGAAGUACAGCAUGUGGUUCCUCCUCUACCUCGUCUCCUUGGAGGAAAUGGAAAAGAACCAUUUAGCAAAAACAGACGAAGCGACUCGACAUGCGUCAAAGUGUUUUCCUAUCGUUAGUUUUCUUGUUAGAAAAGACUCUUGUUGUAACUGAGAGGUUUGGUACAGAUAUUGAAGGUACGUGAUGGAUAAAACCCUGUGAUGCUGAUUUAGUGCACUACGUUUAAAAUGAAGGUAUUUUUGUUCUUUGCUUCCUAGAAUCAGAUUUUAUCUGUUUAGAGUUUUAAUGUGAUUUAGACUUUUGUUAUUGUGUCUCUUUUACUGAAGGUCUCGGUGCGUCUUAUACCUCGUCUCCACAUGGCUCUGUACACAAUCAACUUAAGUCCACUCGUUCCUGUGGGAACCUCCUGUUUGUCAGUUUUUUUAAAGUCUAGAAUUUUCCUUGAGUACGUUGAACCAUUUGAACCUCAGCAGUGGUUCUGACAGAGACUCCAUUAAUGUGCCUGUAGAUUCUGGAAGAGGCUGAUGUAGGAUGAGGAGCCCGACACAGAGACACACCAGACACUCAGAUGACUGAGGUUGAAAUGAGGUUUACUGAUAUCAGAGGAAGUGACACUACCGGAACAGCAGUUCAUGCACGUAAUGCCAGCAUCUAAGGGUUUCUCUCAUACCUUCAGUCUUACACCCUCCAGACACAUCCAGAUUUAUGGGCGAGAGGGAAACAAAGAUAGUCCGGCGCCUUGGUGCAAUCUGGUCUUGAGAGGUGCAGGGAGUGCUCGCCUGUCCUCCUGCAGUAGAUCUACAUGAGGUCAAGAAUGUGUAGAAGAUUUGCAGAGUGCACAUCUGCUACUAGCACUACUUUUACAUGAGGAGGUCAGUCAGAGGAGCUAAGGAGAGAAGUUCAAAACCAUCUCUGGAAACUUAACUCCAAGAGAGGAAAGUAAUUAUUCCUUCACAGUUGGGAAUAUUAAUUAGCUAACACGCUAACGUUCAGCACGUUUUCUAUGCUGACGAUAAGCUAGUUUAACACAUGCUAGCUGUGUAAGGAGUAGAGGUUCAUACGUCCUGGAACAAAGUAUUUCACAGAUCUGUUUCCCCACCUGACUGUCUCCCACCACUGGUCCUGGUUUUAUGGCAGUAAUGCUUUUUGCACAUAGUCUGUGAAACUGGACGAUAAAAACUGAUAAAAAUGUGCCUUUUUAAUGGCUGAGGUGAACCAACCAAACAAAGCUGUGUGGAAACGAGGUGUUAAGUCUUGAUGUCACUCCUUUGUUGAUGCACGUUUGCCCUUGCAGGAGUCUGUGUGAAACUGCAAAGUCAUGCAUUAACGAACUUAAAAGUACAAGUAGUUCUGAAGAGAGCAAAGGUUCAGCUCCUCAUCUGACGGUACAGUAAGGCCAUGAACAUAUUCUAAAUACUGCUCACACUGACACUGACACCAGUUUUAUAUCUAUUUUUUUUAAAUCUGGCUGAUAAGAAAAAGGGAACUCUCCUGCUGGUCUCUCAACUGAGAGUAUACCAUCAUCUACUGAAGGUGACACAAAGACUGUAGAUUAGCACCUGUCCAACCAUCCCUUUGAGCUGUACUUUUGAUCCACUCCAUGAAAACUGAGCCACGCAAUAGAGCUGCACACGCUGGCAGUCUAAACAUGAAGCUACCGACAGUCAGAAACACAUCACAGAUUGUUUUACUGACUGUUUUUGUUGCAACGUCCAGCAGAAAAAUGAAGAAAGCCAACAGUAUUUAGAGCAGCUUGACACUAAACACGCCCAGAACACGAGUCUUUCUGCUUAUCAUGACACAGUGUUUUUCUUGACUCAGAACGAGCCUUUACAUGGGGGCUAUUGGAUAGAAAUCUAUGUGCUUUUACUUGUUGAAUAAAACUGUCCACUGUGCUUGAGUAAGUUAAACCUCAUCCAACAAAACUGGUUUGAAAAAAAUGUAAUUGCUAUGUUUAUUCUUAGUCUUUGGCAUUUUGACAAUGGUGAAUUUCCUUUGCUGCUGGAUAGAAGCUCUUCCACAAAGGAUUUUAAAGACAAACUACUAAAACAAAUGAACAAAUUGUGUAUAAUCUGUGCCAAGAAUGGAGAAGUCAGACUUCACUGUGUAUUUUGAAGUGGUCAUACUUAAGUUUUAUAAAUUUUUGCUGGAUUUUUAAAAAUAAAAUUAUAUUUAUUUAAACUGA